rfam:Heterocephalus glaber contig201881, whole genome shotgun sequence.
AGCUUUGUGUAGGAGCGGUUUCAUAGCCAAUGAGGUUUAUCAGAGGAGGGAUUAUUGCUAAUUGAAAACUUUUUCCAGUGAAAACUUUCCCACUGUGAGAACUUGAAAUACAUGUAACAAGAUAAAUAAUUAUAUUUGAAGUGACAUACCUG